rnacentral:misc_RNA from 1 species
GAAGGCCAAGACAGACAGAGAGAGAGACAUUCGCUGCCUUCUAUAAAUGACUCAAUAUUUACUAAUCAGCAACGUUGUCUGUUCUCAGAUGUUUUCCAGUAAGGGAUUUAUUCCCCCAGGAUUUAUAUUUGCCCUGAACGUCACGUAUCGCAGACAUGCUUGUGUUAUUACAGAGCAGGAGAGUGUAAAGAUAACCUGUGUUACUCCCUAUAUUUAAGGAGCCACGCACUUCCCCGUACCUAAACAAUUUGUGCAUUGGCCUCUCGUAGGCCAGGCAGGAGAGAUGCCAAAUUCUUUUUCUAGGGGAAAGAAUGCAAACUGCGAUUAUUUCGAAGCCGGCAAUAAAAGAAACUUUCCUUCGUUAGUUCACGAAAGAGAGCAUUCGUCAGUAUAUAUAUAUAGGUGCACGCUUUUAAAUCGGUGGCUGUAUUUAUGGAGGCAGUUGUAAGGGCGGAGGAGUGUUGCCAGAGAGCGGCCGGGUGUGUAGUGUGAGGGCGGGUGUGGGUGUAGGGGUGAGGUCACCAGUGUGUGUGGUGGUGUCGGGGAUCUGCAGCAACCUUCACCAGCAGCCAGCAUAUCCCAGCUGCAGCAGGAGCCGCUGUAGCGAGCAGGGCAGCAGUCGCGCAGGUUGGGGGAGGCAGGAGUGUGUGUGUGUGAGCCACAGCUGCCGCCUGUCCAACCGGGGUUAUUUUUACACUUGAUGGCCUGAUAAUUUUGGCAAGGGUUUGCGUGGAGGAGAGCGGCGCACAGCACCAGUCUGGGUUGUGGUGAGCAAGGAAUGGGUGGGCAGGAGGCUGUGUGUGGCGCUCCCGCCCUCUAAGCUGUGUACUCAGUAGUGGCAGUACCCGUGGUAGUGGUUGUCCAGGCACAGUGGUCGGCCGGGUGGUCAGCCUCUCGUAAUUUAAGUGGUGCCCCAAGUGGCCCGUGUUUUUGGCCUGUUGGCCGUGUUAUAUUUAAGGCCACUUGUGAGGGCGGCGCCGGCGGGGCCCCCAGUGUCCUGACGACAUAUAGUGUGCCUGCAGUAGCAGCAGCCCUUGGCACGCCCUACAGCACUGGACCCUCCCCUGCGGCCACCCUCUGUAUGAUGCACCUGUGGCCACCACCAUCGCCGCCACACCCACCCACUGUAUAGGCGACCAUGUGGGCGGGUGAUCGUGGGCGUGUGGGGCAGCGAUGUUGAGUUGGCGGCCCGCCCGUGAGAAGGGGUAGUCACCCUUUCACACGCCCACCUUUCCUAAUACUGGAGUCUUCUUGCUACGCCCGCUAAACCGUCAAGAUGGUGGUGUCAGAGGGAGCCAUCAACAACAUCAUGGGUGGGAUGGAGAACACGGCCGGGGUUCGACUCCAUUCCCACCGCCACAAGCUCAAACAAAGAUUUGACAUCAUACGGAAGCUGGGCCAGGGAACAUACGGCAAAGUGCAGUUGGCAGUAAAUAAAGAAACUGGACAAGAGGUUGCAAUCAAGACUAUCAAGAAGGCAAAAAUUGAGACAGAACAGGAUCUCAUACGUAUUCGGAGAGAGAUUCAGAUUAUGUCGUCAGUCCAGCACCCUCAGAUCAUCCAUAUAUACGAAGUGUUUGAAAACCGGGAAAAAAUGGUACUGGUGAUGGAAUAUGCAGCAGGUGGGGAACUGUAUGACUAUCUCAGUGAACGCAAGGUGCUGUCGGAAGAUGAGGCUCGGAGAGUAUUUCGUCAUGUUGCUUCGGCAACAUAUUAUUGCCACAAGCACAAAAUCUGCCACAGAGAUCUCAAAUUAGAAAAUAUUUUAUUGGACUUAGAUGGUAAUGCUAAGAUUGCAGACUUUGGUCUUUCAAAUGUCUUCGAUGAGAAACACCGUUUGGAUACAUUUUGUGGCUCUCCUCUGUAUGCUUCUCCCGAGAUUGUGAAAGGCAUUCCCUACACAGGACCCGAGGUUGACUGUUGGUCACUGGGAGUUUUGUUAUAUACACUGGUGUAUGGUGCUAUGCCAUUUGAUGGCUCAAAUUUCAAGCGCCUGGUCAAGCAAAUUACCCAAGGAGACUACUACGAACCUAAGAAACCCUCUCGUGCCUCCGACUUGAUCCGACAAAUGCUCACUGUGUCAGCUACUAAACGAGCCACAAUUGAAGACAUUUGUAAUCACUGGUGGGUCAAUGAAGGCUUUUCAGAACAUUGUUUGGAGGUGGCCGAGGCCUUGGCCAACCAAACACCCGUCCGCCUUGAUCUGCUGCUGUCACUCGCGCCCAAGCACAUCAAUUCAGAGCACAUGCUUAUUCAACCGGAUGAUGAUGACAGUACCAGAUCGCCGCCUACCUCAGAGGUUACUCGACCACCCCCUCAACUCCAGUUGCCUCCUCCACCACCACCUGAUGCUCUUCCAGUUGUUCCGACACGCUCGGCUUCCCUCGGUGCAGUCACAUCUAUCAGUCGCAAUGAGAUUGAAGCUCUGCUGGCACAGAAAAUACGAGAAAAGAAGGAGAAGGAGAAGAAGAGAAAAGCCGACGAAUCUGGCACCAUGGAAAAGAAAAAGAAACGAGAGUGUGCUGUAGAGGGAACGCCCAAGCCAAGUCGAAAAGAACGAAAAGCUGACGUCGGCUCUCAUAGUGGAGAGUCGGGUAGUAGUCGAAGACCCCCAGCUAUACCAGAUGGCGAGUUGUCUGAGCGGAAGAAGAGUAUUAAAAAGCGAGAACCCAUAUCGGACCAGGAGACGUCACAAUAUGACAAAAGUGAGCGUUCUGAACAUAAAAAGAGUGUUAAAAAGCGUGAAUCUUUGGUAGAUGGUGAUAUUAGUGACUUAAGUGAAAAAUCUGAGAGGAGAAAAAGUGUGAAAAAGCGGGAACCUUCUAUUGUGAAAGAAAUUAGUGAAAGUGAGAGAACAGAAAGAAAGAAGAGUGUUAAAAAGAGAGAACCAACAGUUGAUAAAGAUAAUAGUGAAAGUGAGAGAACAGAAAGAAAGAAGAGUGUGAAAAAGAGAGAAUCUUCUGUGACUAGAGAAUCAAAUGACGAUAAAAUAGAGAAAAGAAAAAUUACCAAAAAGAAAGAGUUAUUAAAAGAAAAGACUUCUAGUACAACAGAUAGUGAAUCUGUUAUUGAACCUUCACCUGUGAUAAAUGGGGAAAAUCAUGAGUAUGACGAAGCUGAGACGGGUAAGUCUAGGGACAUACAGAUGGACACCUCUGAGGACCAGUUGCAAAGUCAAAGCCUGAAACCUUCCAUACCCAAGGACCAAUUUAUAGAGCAGGUACAGUCUUCUUUAUCUAAUGAUAUGGAAUUAAGUAGAAGUAAUAGUGCAAAGAAUGAAUGGAAAGGUAAUGCAUAUCAAGAGUCUGAUGAGGUAGAACCUAUGGAAACUGAACCAGUUACACCCACUCUUAUAUUCCCGGGGCCAACAAAAGUAUCAUCGAGCACAAGAUCUGUGGGAUCGUCUACUUCUAACGAUGUAACCCUCAAGGCCUCCGACUCUUCACUCUCUAGGGAGUCUGUUAGUCCAAUGAAGACCGAGACAAGGGUUACUCCCCAGCGUCAAGACUCUCCAAAGAAAUCUUCAUCGCCUAUUCAAACUCCAAAGGUGAGAAAAGUCAAAUCAAAGUCAUUAGUAAAAACAUGCUCUAAAAGCAAGGUUGAGACCAGGCCAGCAAAGGUAUCACCGACGAACAGUGAUGUUAGUAGAGUAGUUCCAUCGCCUGUUUCCAAGGUAGAUGAAACAGAAAAAGUUUUACAAGAAACAGCAGAUAAAAUUAAACGUUCAGAAGAGUCCAACAUUCCUGAUGCAGUAAAAGCAGGAUAUAAUGACUCUCAGGUCAAGGGAAGAGUAGGUGAAGUUAUUACGAGUAAAGAGAGCGAGUCGGUCGGUAAUCUUCAACGGAAAGAUGUAGAAUCGGCUGGUGAGUCAAUUUCUAGUAAAGAUGUUAGCCAGUCUUCGUCUAUGUUAUCAACUCCAGCUCGAAGUCGAGCUGGUUCCGAGUCAUCUACAGAAACUCGUCCGUCCCGUACAGACUCGGCAAAGAGACAGUCAAAGAUUUUCAAGGCAGCUGCCAUGUGGGAGAGCCAAAAUACUCCAUCCCAAUCCCCAGUUGAAAAACUCAAGAAACCAGUUAGAACUGGAGGAAAUGUCAUGUCUGAUCUUGCAAAGAAGUUUGAGGAAAAGCCAUUAGUUGAUCGCAAGAGUAAGGUGGUGCCCAGUUUUAAGGUGUCUGAUGCAAGAAAAGCCUUUGAAGCUAAACCAGCUGAAAAACCCACUGUCAUUUUACGGAAAAAAUCAACUGCAGAAUCUUUACCUUCUUCACCUACAAAUAAGGAUGGUCCUAAAAUACCCACUACUCAUUCUGGACCAAUAACUACUCGUGAUGUUAUUAGAGAUUCAACACCUUGUAAAGAAAUUACUUCAACAAAAUCUCAUAAAGGCAAAUCACCAGCAAAAGAGAAAUCUCCAGCCAAGGAUGCACCAGAAGAAAAAACUAAAAAGGAUGCUGAAAAAGAAAAGGUGCCUAAAAAGGUGAAAGAACCAUUUAGAAAGGAAAUGACAAAAUCACCAUCUCCAAAGCCAGCAACAACAGUUGAAGUAGCAGGCAAGGAUCCUGACGGUAAUAUUGCUACAAUAGACAAAAUAGAAAUGAAAAAGCGUGAUGAAUCUCCAAAGAAGGAAAUACUAGAGGAGAAUAAAAAGGCUCCUACAGUAGAGCAGCCAUAUAUUGAUACUGAUGACAAGUUAGUGUCUCCAAAGAUACUUACACACACCGUAGAAGUGAGCCCUCAUGACACUGUGACAAGAAGUGAAGAGGAAAAGGCAGUUGUAAUUGGUGGACUUAAUGUAAAACUUGGUGGUGUUGGAACAAUUUCCGAAGUUGGAACAAAGCAAGAAGUUCGCAAGACAGAGUCUUCUGAUUCUUCUGAUUCCGAGUCUGAAGCAGAGAAACUCCUCAAAUUGGUAUCAGAGAAGAGAGAGAAGGUGGAGGCUGCAAAGCAAGAGAAGUUGCGUAAAGUAUCACAAGCUAAGGACAGGGAACUCAGAAAGGAUAUGCCAAUUAUCAGUGAAGAAGCACAAUCCAAAUUAUCACCACCACCACCACCUGUAAAGACUGUCAAGGUUUCGCCGCCAGAAGUACGAGAUUCUGCACCGGAGCAAAAGUUUGCUACACUUCCACGGGGGUUCAAGGCCAAAACAUCUCGACCAGCUGCUGCAGUCACCACACCCGCUCCUUUGCCUCUUGCAGAAAAAAUAAGAAAGGAUGACAAGAAAGAUAAGGCCAUCAAUCAAGAAAUUGAAGGAAUGAUGUCUGCCAUAAAGGCUGUGGAUCAGGCCAUUACAAAGGAAGAGCAGGAAAUAAAGAUGCUUCGCGAUUCCUUGGCUCGUAACCUUCCUGAAAAUAUCGAGGAAGAGCACGGCACGGCUCACGAGUGCCCGCUCUCGCCAAUUGCUGAACAACGACCAGUAAGCAAGGAGAUCCAUGCCAUCCCACCACAAGAAGUUCUUGGAUCAUCACAUGAAGAUAUAUCAGUUAAUACCACUACUCUGGGCACUUUUGAACAGCAGGGGACGGCUGAGACCAACCUGAAUUCACAAGAAGCUAAGGAUGCUGAACGCAAAAAGACCAAACUAGAAAUUGUUCUCAAUAACAAGAAACCCGAUGUGCCGGAGCCAGACCUAGCUAACAAGAGAGCAUCAUACGCUGAAAUCAAGUUGACUUCUCCUCCUACCUCAAAGGACACUCCCAAAACUCAGGAGUAUAGAUCAGAAGUUCGUCACAAUGUCGGGUGCGUGCACGGAUUGGGAGAUUCUCAUCUGCAAAGAGCAAAGAGAGAGCGUAUCAUUCCCAUCAUGCUGGAAGAUGAUGAUGAUGAUGACGAUGAUGAUCUUACCACAAGUGAAAGUCUUCCCCAUAAUGAUAGGCCUGUAGGUCCCUCAUCCUCUACAGGAUCAAGGGUUACAUCACCACAGCCUUUCCAGCUUCCCAACAGAUGUACCUCUGACCCACGAUCACCCUUAUAUAAUCCCUCACCCGAACCAAUAAGAAAAUCUCGUCGAGAACGAAUUAUUCCCAUAGCAGUUGAGGGAGAAGGCAUUGUUACGCCUCCGCCUCACAUAGAAGAAGCAGCAGAACUCGGAGCAGCACGAGCACAUCAAGCAUUUUCACGCACACUGUCUUCCAGACCCAGUGCCCUUAACAGUGGGAUGACGGAAGGUGAGGGAGAAAGCGACACACUGUCGCCUACAGGUACUGUGUCGUGCCCACCACUACCACGUAGAGCUCCUACUGAUCUGGCAACAGUGCCCAUGUGGCAGCGACGGCUCUCUCACACUAACAGCAGAGGACGAGCAUUCCUGUUAGAUCACAGUGAAAGCUUCAGUUCAGCGGGAGAGGAAGAAGAGGAGGAUGAAGAUGAUGGUUUCCAAAUUCUCACAGCCGAAUCCUUAUUUUCAACGUUACUCAACCGAGUUCGUUCACUAACUCGUAAGAUGAACGCCGAUGAAAUCAGAACUGAAAGGAGUCGGCGAUCAUCAAAUCGACCUACUCCAGAACCUAACAUGGCCCCAAGUAGUGCCGGGAUUGGAGCAGCACACUCUGCUUCCUCAGGGUUUUGGUCAUCUCUCUACAAUUCACCACGGGAUUCUCCUGCCAGGAGGAUCUCCGAGACUAUGUCGCGUAGUAGCCUUGGGCGGGAUGAUGACACACUAGGGGGACUCAGCUCUCCGAUAUGGACCCGCAGUGUUUCCCGAGACACCUCUGAUGCCGAUACACUGUUCUCAGAAUCUUCAACUCCAUUUGGUACAUUGCCGAGAGGAUGGCGAGCAUCUCGGUGGUCAGGUGCUGAAGAUGGAGGAGAGUCCGAUACAUCUGAAGCUUCAGCUCGCUCACUUAGUCGCCGGCCACAGUAUUCCCGUGCACCUUCAAGAGAACUACACAACAUUCCAGAUGAAGAACUGGGAAUGACAGGCAGCAGAGGGUGCCCAGGAGGUGGCAUGUCACUUCCUCGUCCAUAUCCUGCUAGUAGCAGUGGAAAUCUACCUCAAAGCAGAGGCAUGCAUGACUCAGCAGAUCGGAUAGCAGCAAUGUAUGGAACACUGCGGAGUCCACAUCGUCGCCCCCACUCAACUGUGGGUGGCCCGCCGGGGGAAUGUAUUGGGAGGGAUGGUGGGCUCUAUGAGCAGCAAUUACAAAGAUCAGCACCUCCAAGUGCUGCUGCUCAUAUUAGUGCGCAGAAAGACCUACGCACAUCACAACUCUCCCCUAGCGGUCAGGGUCAGCAGUCAUCCGAGGAAACUGAAGCUCUCAAGCAAAGUGUACAAGAACAACUGAAACAGCUUGUUAGAGAGCUUGAAGCUGGAGAUGACCAAACCUCUGAGGUGUGCAAGCCACCAGAGCAACAACUCAAUGGCAUUAAUCCUCAGUAUAAUACACUUUCUUCAACUCAUGCAUCACCAGUCCAUUUUUCUGGCACACCAAAAAAUUCAUCAUUAACACACAUUUACUCCCCAAGCAGAAACAUGUACUCGCCUAGUAAGCCAAUGUACUCUUCUAAUCCAGCACUUCACAUCACUUGCACACCAAUUCAAUCAUCUUCACCACAAACACACUCUGAGGCUACUACUGGCUACCAGGGAACACCUUCAGUCCUAAACAACAAUCCAUGUACAAAUAAUGAACAAAUGAUGAAACUUGGUAAAAACAUGGGAAUAAUAAAUGAUGAUAAUUCAGCAAAUAAUGUGGUCUUAAAUAAUGCAAGACUAACAAGCAAGGAUAAUAAUAUAUCGCCAAUCUGCACUACUAUAGUCACUGCAGCAAUAAAUUCCACGCAACCAAACAAUACAUCCACAAGUAAUAUUCCGAUGCUUAGCACCGACGCCAGUGCCUCUGACCGCAAGAACCGUGCAUUUUCCAUCCAUCCAACCCCCAGCGAUCAUGUUGGUUAUAACACUAUUUUGGAUAUCUGUAGAGAUGGAGCUAUUAGCCCUUCGAACAGUGAUGGUGCCCCAGCUGGUAGUGGAAUUCGAAGAGCUCUAUCCUCUAAAGAAGAGUGGUUAAAAUCUGGCAAUGCAGUUAUUAAAAAUGCUGAUAAUUCUGCUUUGGAGGCCUAUAGACGAUCUCAGGAAAAGGGUGAUACAGAUGCAUGUGAACACCACGUCGGUAAAUCGGAAGACCCUUGUCAGUCUGCUGCUAACAAUUUAACACAACCUGAAUGUUCAGAUAGUAAAAAUGUACCUGCUCGUGCUCCCUUUGACACCCACCAGUCACUAAAUGUAAGAACUACUGCAGUGGCACCUAGUACAAAGUUAUUGGGUAAUGACAUAAAGUGUGUUAAUACAGUUAAUGAUGACAUAGAAAAUCAAAUUGUUUAUUCCAACAAUAAAAAUAAUCAAAAUAAUAAUGAUGAAAAUUAUAUUGCUAAUGAAUUAGGUGUAAUAAAUAAUAACUUGACGUCAAGUAAUAUCAACCCUAAGGCAAACACUACAUCUAAGUCAAAUAGCAGCCAUACAAAUAAUGCACAAAACAGCAGUAGUAUUGUAAUUAGUCGAUCAAGCAGUGGUAUUCCUGUAAAAAGCAAGAGCCGAAGCAGCAUUAGUACUCGCAGCAGCUACAGUGGAAACACCACCGGCAGUACAAGCACUAAAGUUACACCUGACUUACUGCACCCAAAAACGUACCAGAAAAGUAAGUCAAGAGAACUGACGCCAGCUAUUGAAGCUGCCGGGGAGAAAUUUAAUCAACUUAAUUCGGGUACACUGAAGCGUAUAUCACCCUUUGAAGCUUACCGACGUACCAAAUCCCGAGAAUUACCUCUAGACACAGCCAACCAAGAUCCUCCACCUGUAAGAUUAAAAUCUCCACCUCCAACUUCUCUUGACCGUGCAAAGUCACCAUUUGAAAAAGCAAAAACAUCUAUUGAGAAGAAAUUUGAGCAUACAAAAUCAUCAGCAGUAGAAAAGGCUGCAAAUCCUGUUCCCAUAACACCUAACAUAAAUCGAUCGUCAGUAAUUACCGUAAAAGAGAAAGAAAAUGGAAAGGUUGAAGAAGCUGUCAUACACGACAAACAAAAGGAGACUGACUUGAGCAACCACAAUAAUAAAAGCAAGAAAAAAGUAAAUGAGGCAGAAAAGGAGAUGGAAACUGAAAAAUCUAAAGACCAAGGUAAAGAAAAGGACAAUGACAAGUAUAAAGCCAAAGUUAAGAAGACUUCCUCUUGUGAUCCAGAAAAACCUAAAUCAAUGUAUAAAUUACUGGCAUCACGUUUUAAUCGGUCUGGUUCAAAUGUUUCUGACAGCACUCGGUUGCCAGCAGAUAAACGACAUGACGACGAUGAUGCAAGUGAAAAAGAAGAAAAAUUCCGACUGAAAAGACCAUCAAGGUUUUUAAAGCAUAAAACUGAAAAGAGCGCAUCUAAAUCUAGUGUCUGUGAUGGAGAAGGGGCUUUAGAUGAUUCUGACCGACCAGAGAGAAAGCCCUCCAAGAAACUAACAGAUGCACUCAACAAAUUUUUAGGGCGUAAAGAUUCAAAAGAGGAAUCUAAAACAUCUCUUAAUACAAUGUCUCAACCCUCAAUACCUACAGCAAAUGUUGAAGAACAGCCUAAGAAACCACCUCGUGUGAAACCCAAGAAAUUUUCAAAGAGCCAAGAAAAUCUGUGCCUGAGUCGUGUAGAGGAGGGAGGUGAAACAGGGACAGGAUCCCCUCUCACAGAGCGUGCACAGAGUGUCGUUCCAGAUAAUUUUGCAAAUAAUUUGCAACCUGGUUAUACUUUGGAAUCUGUUACAAAGAGUAUCUGUGACCAUCUUUCUCAGCUUGAAAGUGAUAUUACUUCACGCAUUGGAAAUAUGGGUGUUCAGGAACCUGGGGUUGGGGUGAGACCUGAUGGGAGCUCUCGAGUAAUUCCUACAGUUUCAUCUAUUGGUUCAAUUACUACCUAUGGAUUGUCGCCUGCUCUGGCAAGUCGCAGAAGUGCUCGUCCUACUAAUCUUGAUUUAGCUGCUUCAAAUAUAGAAAAUCACCAAACCCCUAAGCCUCCGACUCAGAAAGCAGAAGACAACACAACAGUUACUAAUCACAUUCCCAGUAAUGAAAGUGAGGGAGUCAAGUAUGCUCAGAUCAAAAGACUGGCUGGUAGUGGGAACACUGGUCAUUUAGAAAAUGGGUGUCAAACUUUAACAAAUUCAGAAUCUACCACAACAGGAACCGAGGAUAUGCGAGGACACAUUGAAAGUGAAGAUGAAAGUGUCAUGGAUAGAAUCACACGUAAGAGUUAUUAUUCAAAGUUUCAGGACAAGAAGAAACCAAAAUUGCGUCGAGCAAACACAAAGGAAGAUAUGGACCAACAAUUAGCAGCAGCAAAGGCUCGCCUCAUGAAAGAAGAUACCGAGCGUGCGGUACGAGAGUCCCUCACCCCAAUGCGGUAUUCCUCGCCAGUUACUUCUCCAAGAACUUCUGUUACCUCUCCUCCUUCCUGGGAAAGUUCUCGUCGACAUUCUCGAAAAUCACUACCACCAGAAGAAGGUAUCUUCCUGUUAGGUGGACGACGGGGCACAUCUCUGCAGCCUGAUGAUCUUCCUGGCAUAAGACGGUUCACAUCCAUUCAACCAGAUGAAAUGCAAAGUAUCCGCCGAUUACCGUCAUUGCCCCCAGAGGACCGUUUUUACCCCCAACGUGCACCUUCAAUGCCUCCGGAAGAUUAUUCAUUACGUCAUCGCACAAAAUCCAUUCCACCUGAAGAUCGUUCUUAUAUGUAUCGAGCGUCUUCUAUACCCUCAAAUGAUUAUUCAUCUACAGUCCACAUGAAACCCAUUCCACCUAGUAACCCUAAAGUUCACCCAUCCAGUCCAGUAAAUGUUAAUGAAUUAGGUGAAGAACGAGUGCAAGAUGCUGUAGCAGCUGCAGCAGCAGCAGGUGCACUAGCUGGAGAAGCAGCAGCUGUUGUAGCAACUGCUGAUGGUAUUACAGAGAGGGAAAUGAGCAAAUCACGUGAACCUUCAGUAAGUCGCCUCCGAAGCCCCGAUCCUGCAAAUUGCUCAACUCCUACCCGGGAUGACACGCGCAACCUUGCUCGAGAAGAACUAUCUCGUCGCCUUACUCAUCUUACACGCAUAUCUGGCACCAGUGGAUUAUCUGGCUGGAACCGAGGAGGUUUAGCUGGAGGGGGUAACACUGGUGACAUAGGUGAAAAGCGACUUUAUCGUCGCACCAACACCACUGGCCAUCUGGGAGAAUCACUAACAGGGUUUUCACAAGCGGGCAUAAACCCUGGAAUUACUGCGAGACCCGUAUACCGACGUACCAAUACAAUGGACCUGCCACCAGCAGAUGCUCGAGCUCGACCUGGUAGUGAGUACCGGCGACAGCUACAAGACCCCACUCGCCGCUUCUCAGCUGCAAGGUGGGUGCCUUGAAGAUUUCAUGUCACAUUGCCAUGGCAGAAGCUUCAGCAGGCCUGCCAGCAGCAUAUCACCACACUCUCAUCACCAGUAGCAGCAUUACUAGCAGUACCGUAGUGCAACUACCAUCUGCAGUAGUUGUCAUCAAUAUCAAUAGUAGAAGUAACAGUGAAACAGCGUGGACUUACAAAUGACCUUUAGGGUCUUCCUAUGAGCAGUAGAUACUCCCACAGAUGAUCUGUAUAUGGUGGUUAUCCUGCAAGAUGGUUCCGUCCAUUACAUCAGUGGACACUGAUGGAGGAGGAGGAUCCGACCACACCCUCAAGUCGGACAGCUUCCCGCCUCAUCUCUCCGUCACUCGGCUCAUCAACGUCCCGCUACAAUUACUCAACUUUGGACCCUCCGCGCUACCCUUCCACCAUCUC